rnacentral:misc_RNA from 1 species
GAUGAAGAACGUAGCGAAAUGCGAUAAGUAAUGUGAAUUGCAGAAUUCAGUGAAUCAUCGAAUCUUUGAACGCACAUUGCGCCCGCCAGUAUUCUGGCGGGCAUGCCUGUCCGAGCGUCAUUUCAACCCUCGAACCCCUCCGGGGGGUCGGCGUUGGGGAUCGGCACUUACCUGCCGGCCCCGAAAUACAGUGGCGGUCUCGCCGCAGCCUCUCCUGCGCAGUAGUUUGCACACUCGCACCGGGAGCGCGGCGCGUCCACGGCCGUAAAACAACCCAAACUUCUGAAAUGUUGACCUCGGAUCAGGUAGGAAUACCCGCUGAACUUAAGCAUAUCAUAAGCGGAGGA